rnacentral:lncRNA from 1 species
GUCAUCCGAGCUCUAAAAGUUCAAAAAUAGAGAAAUAAGGUUUUUGGACAAAAAUGGAAAUUAUACUCUAUCUAGGCAAUGUCAACCUGAAUCGAGUCCCACAUUUGUGGUCAGGCCUUCUCCAAUACGAUAAAGUUUGAUCCAAAUAGAAUCAGCUUAACCCAUUGUGAAUGUGAUCGGGACACUGCAAUCGAGAUGAACAAUGAAGUUACCCUUCACGAACGCAAUCCCACCAUCGUGUUCAUGAUGACUACUAU